rnacentral:tRNA from 1 species
GCAUUGAUGGUUUAAUGGUAACCAACGUCGUCGUCGUCGACGUGCUGGAGGUUCGACUCCUCCUUGAUGCA